rnacentral:rRNA from 1 species
UACGAAGGGGGCUAGCGUUGUUCGGAAUCACUGGGCGUAAAGGGCGCGUAGGCGGCUUGAUAAGUCGGGGGUGAAAGCCUGUGGCUCAACCACAGAAUUGCCUUCGAUACUGUCGAGCUUGAGACCGGAAGAGGUAAGUGGAACUGCGAGUGUAGAGGUGAAAUUCGUAGAUAUUCGCAAGAACACCAGUGGCGAAGGCGGCAUCCUGGACCAAAACUGACGCUGAAUAGCGAAAGCCAGGGGAGCAAACGGG